rnacentral:rRNA from 1 species
CACAGGUGCUGCAUGGCUGUCGUCAGCUCGUGUCGUGAGAUGUCGGUUAAGUCCGCUAACGAGCGCAACCCUCGCUGUGUGUUAUAUGUGUCGACACGGGACUGCCGGUCUUAAGCCGGAGGAAGGUGGGGAUGAUGUCAAGUCAGCAUGGCCUUUAUAUCCUGGGCUACACACACGCUACAAUGGCCAACACAAUAGGUUGCUAAGCCGCGAGGUGGCGCCAAUCCAUAAAGUUGGUCUCAGUUCAGAUUGUGGGCUGCAACCCGCCUGCAUGAAGAUGGAGUUGCUAGUAACCGCAGGUCAGCUAUACUGCGGUGAAUACGUUCCCGGGCUU